CUCUGGUGUUGAAGGCCCUGCAAAGCAGCAUCGCGGUGGCGGAGCGUCGUUUGCGACGCCCAACACACAAAACAAGCGGUGAGUGCUUUGGGGUGGGGUGACUGCGUACCUUUUGUAUAAUGGGUCAGCGACUUAUAUUCUGUAGCAAGGUUAACCGUAUAGGGGAGCCGAAGGGAAACCGAGUCUUAACUGGGCGUUAAGUUGCAGGGUAUAGACCCGAAACCCGGUGAUCUAGCCAUGGGCAGGUUGAAGGUUGGGUAACACUAACUGGAGGACCGAACCGACUAAUGUUGAAAAAUUAGCGGAUGACUUGUGGCUGGGGGUGAAAGGCCAAUCAAACCGGGAGAUAGCUGGUUCUCCCCGAAAGCUAUUUAGGUAGCGCCUCGUGAACUCAUCUUCGGGGGUAGAGCACUGUUUCGGCUAGGGGGUCAUCCCGACUUACCAACCCGAUGCAAACUGCGAAUACCGAAGAAUGUUAUCACGGGAGACACACGGCGGGUGCUAACGUCCGUCGUGAAGAGGGAAACAACCCAGACCGCCAGCUAAGGUCCCAAAGUCACAGUUAAGUGGGAAACGAUGUGGGAAGGCUCAGACAGCCAGGAUGUUGGCUUAGAAGCAGCCAUCAUUUAAAGAAAGCGUAAUAGCUCACUGGUCGAGUCGGCCUGCGCGGAAGAUGUAACGGGGCUAAACUGUGCACCGAAGCUGCGGCAGCGACGCUUAUGCGUUGUUGGGUAGGGGAGCGUUCUGUAAGCCUGCGAAGGUGUCCUGUGAGGGAUGCUGGAGGUAUCAGAAGUGCGAAUGCUGACAUAAGUAACGAUAA
rnacentral:rRNA from 1 species